AGUGAACGCUGGCGGUAGGCCUAACACAUGCAAGUCGAACGGCAGCACAGUAAGAGCUUGCUCUUACGGGUGGCGAGUGGCGGACGGGCGAGGAAUACAUCGGAAUCUACUUUUUCGUGGGGGAUAACGUAGGGAAACUUACGCUAAUACCGCAUACGACCUACGGGUGAAAGCAGGGGAUCUUCGGACCUUGCGCGAUUGAAUGAGCCGAUGUCGGAUUAGCUAGUUGGCGGGGUAAAGGCCCACCAAGGCGACGAUCCGUAGCUGGUCUGAGAGGAUGAUCAGCCACACUGGAACUGAGACACGGUCCAGACUCCUACGGGAGGCAGCAGUGGGGAAUAUUGGACAAUGGGCGCAAGCCUGAUCCAGCCAUACCGCGUGGGUGAAGAAGGCCUUCGGGUUGUAAAGCCCUUUUGUUGGGAAAGAAAAGCAGCAGGUUAAUACCCCGCUGUCCUGACGGUACCCAAAGAAUAAGCACCGGCUAACUUCGUG
rnacentral:rRNA from 1 species